rnacentral:rRNA from 1 species
AUUGAACGCUGGCGGCAGGCCUAACACAUGCAAGUCGAACGGAGCGGGGGACGGGUGAGUAAUGCCUAGGAAUCUGCCUGGUCGUGGGGGAUGGGGUCCGGCAACGGGCGCUAAUACCGCAUCCUAUCAGUGGAGCCUGGGUGGGAUUAGCUAGUUGGUGGGGUAGGGGCCUACCAAGGCGACGAUGCGGAACUGGUCUGAGAGGAUGAUCAGUCACACUGGAACUGAGACACGGGCCAGACGCCUACGGGAGGCAGCAGUGGGGAAUAUUGGACAAUGGGCGAAAGCCUGAUAGAGCCAUGCCGCGUGUGUGAAGAAGGGCUUCGGAUUGUAAAGUUCUAUAAGUUGGGAGGCGGUACCAACAGAAGAAGCACCGGCUAACUUCGUGCCAGCAGCCGCGGUAAUUC